rnacentral:rRNA from 1 species
UACGUAGGGUGCGAGCGUUGCCCGGAUUUAUUGGGCGUAAAGGGCGCGUAGGCGGCUUGGUAAGCGUGCGGUGAAAGCCCGGGGCUCAACCCCGGGUCGGCCGUGCGAACUGCUGGGCUGGAGCACUGUAGAGGCAGGUGGAAUUCCGGGUGUAGCGGUGGAAUGCGUAGAGAUCCGGAAGAACACCGGUGGCGAAGGCGGCCUGCUGGGCAGUAGCUGACGCUGAGGCGCGACAGCGUGGGGAGCAAACAGG